CAGUUGAUAAUGAGCAGUACACUCAAGGAACUACUUUACUUCAAAUCCCACUCAGUGAAAUCGCAGUCUUGUACCUGAAGUAGUAAAACACAUUUUGCUAGACUAGUGAACAAUGUCUGAAUAGAAGCACAGUGCAUACUAGCUCAGUGCGUUUUCUUUGAUGUUACUAAAGAGGACACUGCAGUAAAAAUGUUUUCACUGUAAAGUUUUGUAUAAAAUGAUUUUUAAAAACUCAACAUUAAGAAUGUGAGAUAUUUCAUCAUAAAAAGGAAUUCAUAAAAGUGCACAUGUUAAAAGUGGAAUAGAUUAAGGGUUACACACCAGGCUGUGGCACAUGCCUUUAAUCCCAGCCCUUGGGAGGCAAGAGGCAGGUGGAUUUCUGAGUUUGAGGCCAGCCUUGUCUACAGAGUGAGUUUGAGGACAGCCAGGGCUACACAGAGAAACCCUGUCUCAAACAAAACAAAACAAAACAAAACAAAACAACAACAAAAUUAAGGGUUGCAAGAAGAGUGAAAUUUGAUUUCUUUUUGGAUAGUACUUCCAAAUCAGUGGCUUUUGUUGCUAGAGACUUGGAAGCCCAGGCAGGUUUGGCACCAUUUCUGGGUCUCAGCCCUGUGAGCCAUCCUCCUGCCCUCCUUUCUCCUGCCAAGGGAUCAUGCUCUCACCUCCAUUUCCUUCCAUAUUAGCCACUGUAACAAUAACAAAGUUCCAUUCUCAAAUGAUUUCUGGGUGGAGAUCAGGUGAGGUCUUGCUAUAAUUUAAAAGGUUCUUAAUAAAGUAAGACUGUGUAAUUCUGCUACUAUCUUAAAAGAUGUUUUUGCUUCUUCCUAGAAAACCCUUCCUUUUAUGAUUAUAUUGGUAACUUGUAAAAGAAUUUUGUUGUGUUUGAUGCAAAAGAAUAUUGGGAGUGGCUGACUGUGGCAGACAUGUAAGGCAAAUCCACAGCCUAUUAAAGUGCACAGCAUUUGCAUUUGGUAUUAUGGCAUAAAUCUCUAUCUUUAUUGAAAGAAUACUGGCUAAUAUCUUCCCUGUUAGGCAUGCCAAGUUGUAGGGGAGAGAUUGUGUUAUUUAUUUAUUUUUUUUUAAACAAUCCAAUGGAUUUGUUUUUGUCUGUAUUUUGAGAACAACUUGAAGGAUUUUUUUUUUCAUUUUAGAAGAUAGAGUAUGUAUACCUGCCUUUUAAGUUACUAUAACCUAAUAUAUAUAAAUUAUAACAUUGAAAAGUGCAAAAAGCUCUAAUUAUUGAUGUUAUUUCCCUGGUAUUUAAUUUUUAUAAAUGGUUUUGUAAGUAAAUAAUUGUAGUAUUGCUUUGAGUAGUUUAAAGUCAUCCUUAAAUAAGUUCUGACUCAACAUACUGCCUUAGUACAAUAUUCUAAAGUGAAGUACUCUGAUGUGAAUUUGAAACAUGCCUGCAUUUUCUAAGUUUCUUCAUAUGUAUAUGUACAUACACCAGUACCCAAGAAAAGCAUACCAGAAGCCUGAUUUCCACAUUGCAUUGAUAAGGAGCUUGGUCUUUUGCCUUCAUAUAAUUCAGUUGCCUGGGUGAAAUAGAACAUAAAUCUCUUCAAAUGUCUGUCCAUUCACAGUUUUCAAAAUGGUAACUUUUCAUCUGGGGAAGCAUGAUGCCAAGUUUAUCUGUAAUCAGCUCUAUUACUGGAUGUAUAACAACAGACAUUUUCCUACCUGGUCAGUAGGUUGUAGAUUUAACUGUUGUUGCUUUUUUCCCCCCAGUAGAUUUUCACUACAUUUUCAAAUCUAUAUUUGGAAAAACCUGCAAAGUGCUAUGAGUAAGUUAGCUAGCAUCUUUGGCCUUAUCUAUGCAUAACGUUUCUUAGCUUAAUUUUGACAAGCUCACUGACAGGUAAUUCCUUUGUAGUGUUGUAACUUACUGUGACGUAAUGAUUUUUUUUUAAUGUUUAUAUGAUUCAUUAUUAAAAUAUAGGAUAUUGUAUAGCUUUGCAUGAAAUAAAUGACAUCUCUAUG
rnacentral:lncRNA from 1 species